rnacentral:rRNA from 1 species
UUUUUAAAUGAAGACUAGUAUGAACGGCCACACGAGGACCUAACUGUCUCCUUAAUCUAAUCAGUGAAACUGAUCCCCCCGUGCAAAAGCGGGGAUACUACCAUAAGACGAGAAGACCCUAUGGAGCUUUAAACUUUUAUUAAUUAUUUUAUUCACCUCUCCAAGGAGUUAACAAUCAAUUAAAUUUUUUUAAUAAAAGUUUUGGGUUGGGGCGACCAUGGAGAAAAAAAAAUCCUCCCUGAUGACAACCUAACCAAGAGUCACAACUCUAAGUAUUAAGAUACUUAACUCCUAUUGACCCAUUUUAUGAUCAACGAACCAAGUUACCCUAGGGAUAACAGCGCAAUCCAUUUCAAGAGUCCCUAUCGAC